CAAAUCAAUUUGGUUCGACCCAAACUUAUCUAUGGAAGCCAGGAGAUCAUCUUAACCACCCAGAAGACAUCCAAGACGUCCUUAGCUACACCAGCACCCACAGGAUUAGGAGAAUCCUCUUGCACUUCAACUUGCCUUAUAUGGAGCAAACCGACAUCAAUGUCCAACAGCUCCUUUCCUAUCAAGCUCCUUUCCUAUGGACGAAAUCAGCACAUAUAAAGCAUCCAAGAAGAUCCCAAGGAAGCUCUCUUAUCCCCUUAAAC
rnacentral:lncRNA from 1 species